UACGUAGGUGGCAAGCGUUAUCCGGAAUUAUUGGGCGUAAGGAGCGCGCAGGUGGUUGAUUAAGUCUGAUGUGAAAGCCCACGGCUUAACCGUGGAGGGUCAUUGGAAACUGGUCGACUUGAGUGCAGAAGAGGGAAGUGGAAUUCCAUGUGUAGCGGUGAAAUGCGUAGAGAUAUGGAGGAACACCAGUGGCGAAGGCGGCUUCCUGGUCUGCAACUGACACUGAGGCGCGAAAGCGUGGGGAGCAAACAGGAUUAGAUA
rnacentral:rRNA from 1 species